rnacentral:rRNA from 1 species
AUUGAACGCUGGCGGCAGGCCUAACACAUGCAAGUCGAGCGAGCGGCGGACGGGUGAGUAAUGUCUGGGAAACUGCCUGAUGGAGGGGGCUACAUCCUGUAAACGGUAGCUAAUACAGCAUACCAUCAGAUGUGCCCCGAUGGGAUUAGCUAGGAGGUGGGGUAUUGGCUCACCUAGGCGACGCUCCCUAGCUGGUCUGAGAGGAUGACCAGCCACACUGGAACUGAGACACGGUCCAGACUCCUACGGGAGGCAGCAGUGGGGAAUAUUGCACAAUGGGCGCAAGCCUGAUGCAGCCAUGCCGCGUGUAUGAAGAAGGCCUUCGGGUUGUAAAGUACUUUCAGCUAGGAGGCGUUACUCGCAGAAGAAGCACCGGCUAACUCCGUGCCAGCAGCCGCGGUAAUUC